UUUGAGUUUUGCCUGGCUCAGGACGAACGCUGGCGGCGUGCCUAAUACAUGCAAGUCGAGCGCGGGAAGCAAGCUGAUCCUCUUCGGAGGUGACGCUUGUGGAACGAAGCGGCGGACGGGGUGAGUUAAACACGUGGGCAACCUGCCUGUUAAGACUGGGAUAACCCCGGGGAAACCGGGGCUAAUACCGGAUAAUACUUUUCAUCACCUGAUGGAAAGUUGAAAGGUGGCUUCUUGCUACCACUUACAGAUGGGCCCGCGGCGCAUUAGCUAGUUGGUGAGGUAACGGCUCACCAAGGCAACGAUGCGUAGCCGACCUGAGAGGGUGAUCGGCCACACUGGGACUGAGACACGGCCCAGACUCCUACGGGAGGCAGCAGUAGGGAAUCUUCCGCAAUGGACGAAAGUCUGACGGAGCAACGCCGCGUGAGUUGAUGAAGGUUUUCGGAUCGUAAAGCUUCUGUUGUUAGGGAAGAACCAAGUGCCGUUCGAAUAGGGCGGCACCUUGACCGGUACCUAACCAGAAAGCCCCGGCUAACUACGUGCCAGCAGCCGCGGUAAUACGUAGGGGGCAAGCGUUGUCCGGAAUUAUUGGGCGUAAAGCGCGCGCAGGCGGUCCUUUAAGUCUGAUGUGAAAGCCCACGGCUUAACCGUGGAGGGUCAUUGGAAACUGGAGGACUUGAGUACAGAAGAGGAGAGUGGAAUUCCACGUGUAGCGGUGAAAUGCGUAGAGAUGUGGAGGAACACCAGUGGCGAAGGCGACUCUCUGGUCUGUAACUGACGCUGAGGCGCGAAAGCGUGGGGAGCGAACAGGAUUAGAUACCCUGGUAGUCCACGCCGUAAACGAUGAGUGCUAAGGGUGUUAGGGGGUUUUCCGCCCCCUUUAGUGCUGAAGUUAAACGCAUUAAGCACUCCCCCUGGGGAGUACGGCCCGCAAGGCUGAAAACUCAAAAGAAUUGACGGGGGCCCGCACAAGCGGUGGAGCAUGUGGUUUAAUUCGACGCAACGCGAAGAACCUUACCAGGUCUUGACAUCCUCUGCAAUCGGUAGAGAUACCGAGUUCCCUUCGGGGACAGAGUGACAGGUGGUGCAUGGUUGUCGUCAGCUAGUGUCGUGAGGAUGGUUGGGUUAAGUCCCGCAACGAGCGCAACCCUUGAUCUUAGUUGCCAGCAUUUAGUUGGGCACUCUAAGGUGACUGCCGGUGACAAACCGGAGGAAGGUGGGGAUGACGUCAAAUCAUCAUGCCCCUUAUGACCUGGGCUACACACGUGCUACAAUGGAUGGAACAAAGGGAAGCAAAACCGCGAGGUCAAGCAAAUCCCAUAAAACCAUUCUCAGUUCGGAUUGCAGGCUGCAACUCGCCUGCAUGAAGCCGGAAUCGCUAGUAAUCGCGGAUCAGCAUGCCGCGGUGAAUACGUUCCCGGGCCUUGUACACACCGCCCGUCACACCACGAGAGUUGGUAACACCCGAAGUCGGUGAGGUAACCUUUUGGAGCCAGCCGCCGAAGGUGGGACCAAUGAUUGGGUGAAGUAAUAAUUCGUUGAGACCG
rnacentral:rRNA from 1 species